GUCGAGAAUCUUUCACAAUGGGGGCAACCCUGAUGGAGCGACGCCGCGUGGAGGAUAAGGUCUUCGGAUUGUAAACUCCUGUCAUGCGUGAACAAGGUUGCUUGGAUAAUACCUGAGCAAAUUGAUGGUAGCGCAAGAGGAAGAGACGGCUAACUCUGUGCCAGCAGCCGCGGUAAUACAGAGGUCUCAAGCGUUGUUCGGAAUCACUGGGCGUAAAGGGUGCGUAGGUGGCGUGGCAAGUCAGAUGUGAAAGCACGGGGCUCAACCUCGGAACUGCAUCCGGUACUGCCAUGCUAGAGUACUGGAGGGGUGACUAGAAUUCUCGGUGUAGCAGUGAAAUGCGUAGAUAUCGAGAGGAAUACCAAAGGCGUAGGCAGGUCACUGGACAGUUACUGACACUGAGGCACGAAGGCCAGGGGAGCGAACGGGAUUAGAUACCCCGGUAGUCC
rnacentral:rRNA from 1 species